rnacentral:rRNA from 1 species
AGUGAACGCUGGCGGCAGGCCUAACACAUGCAAGUCGAACGGCAGCACAGUAAGAUUUUGCUCUUACGGGUGGCGAGUGGCGGACGGGUGACGAAUACAUCGGAAUCUUCUCUUUCGGGUGGGAUAACGUAGGGAAACUUACGCUAAUAUCGCAUAUGACCUACGGGGGAAAGCAGUGGAUCUUCGGACCUUGCGCGAUUGAAUGAGCCGAUGCGGGAGUAGCUAGUUGGGUGGGUAAAGGCCCACCAAGGCGAGGAUCCGUAGCUGGUCAGAGAGGAUGGUCGGCCACACUGGAACUGAGACACGGUCAAGACUCCUACGGGAGGCAGCAGUCGGGAAUAUUGGGCAAUGGGGGCAAGCCUGAUCCAGCCAUACCGAGUGGGUGAAGAAGGCCUUCGGGUUGUAAAGCCCUUUUGUUGGGAAAGAAAAGCAGCAGCUUAAUACCCCGCUGUUCUGACGGUACCCAAAGAAUAAGCACCGGCUAACUACGUG